rnacentral:rRNA from 1 species
GCGGGUCUGAGAGGAUGAUCCGCCACACUGGAACUGAGACACGGUCCAGACUCCUACGGGAGGCAGCAGUGGGGAAUUUUGGACAAUGGGCGCAAGCCUGAUCCAGCCAUGCCGCGUGAGUGAAGAAGGCCUUCGGGUUGUAAAGCUCUUUCAGCCGGGAAGAAAACGCAUGGGUUAAUACCCUGUGUGGAUGACGGUACCGGAAUAAGAAGCACCGGCUAACUACGUGCCAGCAGCCGCGGUAAUACGUAGGGUGCGAGCGUUAAUCGGAAUUACUGGGCGUAAAGCGUGCGCAGGCGGUUUUGUAAGACAGAGGUGAAAUCCCCGGGCUCAACCUGGGAACUGCCUUUGUGACUGCAAGGCUGGAGUGCGGCAGAGGGGGAUGGAAUUCCGCGUGUAGCAGUGAAAUGCGUAGAUAUGCGGAGGAACACCGAUGGCGAAGGCAAUCCCCUGGACCUGUACUGACGCUCAUGCACGAAAGCGUGGGGAGCAAACAGGAUUAGAUACCCUGGUAGUCCACGCCCUAAACGAUGCGAACUGGACGUUGGGCACACUUAGGUGCUCAGUGUCGAAGCUAACGCGUUAAGUUCGCCGCCUGGGGAGUACGGUCGCAAGACUGAAACUCAAAGGAAUUGACGGGGGCCCGCACAAGCGGUGGAGUAUGUGGUUUAAUUCGAUGCAACGCGAAGAACCUUACCUAGGUUUGACAUCCACGGAACCUCUCCGAAAAGAGAUAUGGAUGAUUUGUCAUUGUGCGUGCAAGCCAUUGCCUUGUUUGAAGGUUGCGUGGACGUGGAGCCACUUGCAGCUAAUUAUUCAACCCUUGAUCGAUACAUACCAUGAACACCUAUCAGAAAUUUUGCCCA